rnacentral:rRNA from 1 species
GACGAACGCUGGCGGCGUGCCUAACACAUGCAAGUCGAACGGAGUUACCCUUCGGGGUAGCUUAGUGGCGAACGGGUGAGUAACGCGUGAAGAACCUGCCUUUCAGUGGGGGACAACAGUUGGAAACGACUGCUAAUACCGCAUAAUGUCAUUUGGGGGCAUCCCCGAAUGACCAAAGAUUUAUUGCUGAAAGAUGGCUUCGCGUCUGAUUAGCUAGUUGGUGAGGUAACGGCCCACCAAGGCGACGAUCAGUAGCCGGUCUGAGAGGAUGAACGGCCACAUUGGGACUGAGAUACGGCCCAG